rnacentral:rRNA from 1 species
UACGUAGGGGGCAAGCGUUGUCCGGAAUCAUUGGGCGUAAAGCGCGUGUAGGCGGCUCGGUAAGUCCGCUCUGAAAGUCCGGGGCUCAACCCCGGGAGGCGGGUGGAUACUGUCGAGCUCGAGUCCGGAAGAGGAGAGUGGAAUUCCUGGUGUAGCGGUGAAAUGCGCAGAUAUCAGGAAGAACACCAAUUGCGAAGGCAGCUCGCUGGGACGUCACUGACGCUGAGACGCGAAAGCGUGGGGAGCAAACAGG